AUUGAACGCUGGCGGCAUGCUUUACACAUGCAAGUCGAGCGGCAGCGCGGGGGCAACCCUGGCGGCGAGCGGCGAACGGGUGAGUAACGCAUCGGAACGUAUCCUGUAGUGGGGAAUAACUCAUCGAAAGGUGAGCUAAUACCGCAUAAGCUCUGAGGAGGAAAGCGGGGGACCGAAAGGCCUCGCGCUGCAGGAGCGGCCGAUGUCCGAUUAGCUAGUUGGUGAGGUAAAGGCUCACCAAGGCGACGAUCGGUAGCUGGUCUGAGAGGAUGAUCAGCCACACUGGGACUGAGACACGGCCCAGACUCCUACGGGAGGCAGCAGUGGGGAAUUUUGGACAAUGGGGGAAACCCUGAUCCAGCCAUGCCGCGUGAGUGAAGAAGGCCU
rnacentral:rRNA from 1 species